rnacentral:rRNA from 1 species
ACAGAGGGUGCGAGCGUUAAUCGGAAUUACUGGGCGUAAAGCGCGCGUAGGCGGCUUUGCAAGUCGGGUGUGAAAUCCCCAGGCUUAACCUGGGAACUGCAUUCGAGACUGCAUUGCUAGAGUAUGGGAGAGGGAAGUGGAAUUUCCGGUGUAGCGGUGAAAUGCGUAGAUAUGCGGAGGAACACCGAUGGCGAAGGCAAUCCCCUGGGCCUGCACUGACGCUCAUGCACGAAAGCGUGGGGAGCAAACAGGA